rnacentral:pre_miRNA from 1 species
UGUUAUAAAUUUCAUUCAUUUUUACCAUUAAAAACUAGCAUGAGUAACAGAACAACCAAAUAGUAAUACGUGAUGUGCCACGUGUACCUCAUGUUGACAUACAAAGACUGGUUUUUACUAGUGAAAAUGGAUGAAUUUUUUAACA